UGGGUAACCUGCCCAAGAGAUCGGGAUAACACCUGGAAACAGAUGCUAAUACCGGAUAACAACAGAUGAUGCCUAUCAACUGUUUAAAAGAUGGUUCUGCUAUCACUCUUGGAUGGACCUGCGGUGCAUUAGCUAGUUGGUAGGGUAACGGCCUACCAAGGCGAUGAUGCAUAGCCGAGUUGAGAGACUGAUCGGCCACAUUGGGACUUAUACACGGCCCAAACUCCUACGGGAGGCAGCAGGU
rnacentral:rRNA from 1 species